UACGGAGGGUGCAAGCGUUAUCCGGAUUCACUGGGUUUAAAGGGUGCGUAGGUGGAUUGCCAAGUCCGUGGUGAAAUCUCCGAGCUUAACUCGGAAACUGCCGUGGAUACUGGUAGUCUUGAAUAUCGUGGAGGUCAGCGGAAUAUGUCAUGUAGCGGUGAAAUGCUUAGAUAUGACAUGGAACACCAAUUGCGAAGGCAGCUGACUACGCGUAUAUUGACACUCAGGCACGAAAGCGUGGGGAUCAAAC
rnacentral:rRNA from 1 species